CUUGCGAGCUGACGAGCUCCUCCUUCCCUGCGUGCCUCCAUAUCUCCCUGUGUCUCAUUUCUUUUUUCCUCCUCCUGUCUCAUGCAGGAGAACCUUGGUGGCCAGUCUCUUGCCACGUCAAGCCUCCGGCGAGUCCACCUUGCUCUCCGCUGGAGCGGCUGGCUCGUUUCGGACGGCCGCAUCGCACACCAUCCCGGCCCCGCCGAGAAACCUUUUCACCACGGCACCUUGACUCGACUUUACACCAACUUUGCUGCAACGGAAGACCACGAGUAAGAGAGAAAGGCUCCACUUCGACCCGCCAAUCCCAAGUGUUAGCCAACCAAACGACAACUGGCAAUGGGAACUUUACUCCGGACAUCAAGAUGUACGAGCAGAAGAUGAGAGGAGACAGGAGGAGGAGGAGGAGGAGAGAGAAAUAAUGGUUGUAUCUACAUCACCCCAAAAAAGCCUUCUCCAUCAGCCUGGUCAGCCCUUUUCCCUGUCAGGCAUCCACAGAGCCAAGAGAGACUCUUAACACGGCCGAGCUGAGUUAAAUGCCAGUGUCGAGUAUUGUAAAUCACAUUGUAUCCGGCCAAUUACCCCACUCUUCUGAGCCGUCCCGGUCGCUGCUCCACCUCCUCUGCCGAGCCGGGGAGGGCUGCAGACUACCUCCUUCAAUACACGUGGAGUCGCCAGCCGCUUCUUUCACCUGACAUUGGGGAGUUUCACCAGGGUGAUGUAGCGCGUGGGAGGAUCAUGCUAUUACCCCUAGUUUCUCCUCCCCCCUGAACAGGCACCCCAACCAACCAGAGGAGGCACUAGUGCAGUGACCAGGACCACAUCCGGCUCCCACAGACAUUGCCCAUUGUGUCAGUAGGGACGCCCGACCAAACCGGAGGGAAGUCAAAGUAGAAGGUCAGCGUAACACCACUACCAGGGCUAGUGAGGAUUCAGUGCCUUGCUCAAAACAUCACUGAGGCAGAUUUUUGGUCCUCCGGUUUAGGGCAAUCAUUUUUUUUUCUUUUUUGUGGAUUUUUGUCCCCACAAUUAGCUCAUCCCCCCCCCCCCCGCCGAUCCGGGGAGGACUGCAGACUACCACAUGCCUCCUCCGAUACAUGUGGAGUUGCCAGCCACUUCUUUUCACCUGACAGUGAGGAGUUUCGCCAGGGGGACGUAACGCGUGGGAGGAUCACGCUAUUCCCCCCAGUUCCCCCUACUCCCUAAACAGGCGCCCCAACUGACCAGAAGAGGCGCUAGUGCAGCGACCAGGACACAUACCCACAUCCGGCUUCCCACCUGCAGACACGGCCAAUGUGUCUGCAAGGACGCACAACCGAGCCAGAGGCAACACGGGGAUUGGAACCGGCGAUCCCUGUGUUGGUAGGCAACGGAAUAGACCGCUACACUACCUGGAUGCCCUUGGGCAAUCAUUUUGUCACCUUUGUGCCCUUGUUAGAUCAGAGCACGUACUAUUGUACGUAUAUGUGUGGGGCUGAGUGUAAGCCUGUGUGUAUGUGUACUGUGUAUGCUUGUGGUGACAUAUAUUUGUUACCUGGUCCUUGGUGCGGCUCUCGCGGUCCCUGAUGUGCUGGGUUACAAUUCUCUCCAUCUCCUCUCUCAGCAUGGGAUACUGAGCCAGCUGAAGACACAAAACACAAUAGGUAGGCAGCAAUGCCCAGCCACAUAAAAUCUCUCUCUCUCUCUUCCAUACUGGCCUAAUUGAACCACAAGAUCCACUUUCUAUUAAACUAUAUACUCCAAACAGAGCAACACACAGAUGCACAAACACAAAUGCAUUCUACAAAUACACAUUCAAGCACGUUAUGUUUGGGAGAAUGUAUCACAGACUCACUCCAGUUGUCACAAAGCCUACGCAUAGGGGUAUUCAUGUAAAUGGUGAUUUUUAAAGUAGGCUAAAAUGCAAAGGAAUAGAGGAAAGAAAGUCUUUGAUAUUUCUGCACCAAACACAAAAUAAACAAUAUCUGUA